rnacentral:rRNA from 1 species
AUUGAACGCUGGCGGCAUGCUUUACACAUGCAAGUCGAACGGUAACAGGCCGCAAGGUGCUGACGAGUGGCGAACGGGUGAGUAAUGCAUCGGAACGUGCCCCGUCGUGGGGGAUAACGCAGCGAAAGCUGCGCUAAUACCGCAUACGAUCUAUGGAUGAAAGCGGGGGACCGUAAGGCCUCGCGCGAUUGGAGCGGCCGAUGUCAGAUUAGGUAGUUGGUGGGGUAAAGGCUCACCAAGCCGACGAUCUGUAGCUGGUCUGAGAGGACGACCAGCCACACUGGGACUGAGACACGGCCCAGACUCCUACGGGAGGCAGCAGUGGGGAAUUUUGGACAAUGGGCGCAAGCCUGAUCCAGCAAUGCCGCGUGCAGGAAGAAGGCCUUCGGGUUGUAAACUGCUUUUGUACGGAACGAAACGGUCCUGGUUAAUACCCGGGGCUAAUGACGGUACCGUAAGAAUAAGCACCGGCUAACUACGUGCCAGCAGCCGCCGUAAGAC